rnacentral:rRNA from 1 species
GCGUACCAUUAGCUAGUUGGCAGGGUAAUGGCCUACCAAGGCGACGAUGGUUAGCUGGUCUGAGAGGAUGAUCAGCCACACUGGAACUGACACACGGUCCAGACUCCUACGGGAGGCAGCAGUGAGGAAUUUUGCGCAAUGGGGGAAACCCUGACGCAGCAACGCCGCGUGAGUGAUGAAGGCCUUUGGGUCGUAAAACUCUGUCAGCAGGAAAGAAGUUAUAGAGGGUUAAUACCCCUUUAUAUUGACGGUACCUGCAAAGGAAGCACCGGCUAACUCCGUGCCAGCAGCCGCGGUAACACGGAGGGUGCAAGCGUUAUUCGGAAUUAUUGGGCGUAAAGGGCGCGUAGGCGGCUAAACAGGUCAGGUGUGAAAGCCCGGGGCUUAACCCCGGAAGUGCAUUUGAAACCGUUUGGCUUGAGUAUGGGAGAGGAGAGCGGAAUUCCUGGUGUAGAGGUGAAAUUCGUAGAUAUCAGGAGGAACACCGGUGGCGAAGGCGGCUCUCUGGACCAAUACUGACGCUGAGGCGCGAAGGCGUGGGUAGCAAACAGGAUUAGAUACCCUGGUAGUCCACGCAGUAAACGUUGUUCACUAGGUGUAGUGGGUAUUGACCCCUACUGUGCCGCAGCUAACGCAUUAA